rnacentral:lncRNA from 1 species
AUUGUGUAAUUAAAAAUAAAAAAAAUGAAAAACGAAAUUUUAAUGUAAUAAAAUUCAAACGGGCCAAAUCUCAUUAAUUGUCAUGACUGUACACCCUCCCCCCCCCCCCCCCCCCCCCCACCCCCCUCAAAAUUCAAUGACAUCACAUGGAUAUCUGUCAAGCUAUAUGUAAAUGUUUUCUCUUUCUAUCCAAAAAGUUCUAUUCUGAGCAGUCCAAUCCAACGGCCUAAAGUUCUCACAGAGUCCAUGGAGCAAUGUGUGUGUUAUAGUAUAUUUCACAUCAACUUAUACAAGUUGCGGCCUUGGUGAAGUCAGCCUGCUGCAAAAGCAGAUGGAAAAGUACAGUGCUGGAAUCCAAAUUUAGUGGAGCUGAGAGUUAGGUGUGUGGAGGAAGACCAUCCACUCAUUCCCCACAUGCAUAAAUAUCUUUGAAUAUUUUAUACAUUUUACGAAUCGAAUGCAAUAUCAAAAGACUCAAAAGUGGAGUUAAUUGUUGUAUUUAUUAUCGAACUUAUGUCCAUAAUUGAUCACUAAAGUGUAAAAUAUUCAAUUAUGAUCACUGAAUUUAAGUUCAUGUAUUCGAUUGCUCACUAAAGUUUCAAAUAUGAUCACUG